AGAGUUUGAUCCUGGCUCAGAUUGAACGCUGGCGGCAUGCCUUACACAUGCAAGUCGAACGGCAGCACGGGAGCAAUCCUGGUGGCGAGUGGCGAACGGGUGAGUAAUACAUCGGAACGUGUCCUGGAGUGGGGGAUAGCCCGGCGAAAGCCGGAUUAAUACCGCAUACGCUCUGUGGAGGAAAGGGGGGAUCGCAAGACCUCUCGCUCAAGGGGCGGCCGAUGGCAGAUUAGCUAGUUGGUGGGGUAAAGGCCUACCAAGGCGACGAUCUGUAGCUGGUCUGAGAGGACGACCAGCCACACUGGGACUGAGACACGGCCCAGACUCCUACGGGAGGCAGCAGUGGGGAAUUUUGGACAAUGGGGGCAACCCUGAUCCAGCAAUGCCGCGUGUGUGAAGAAGGCCUUCGGGUUGUAAAGCACUUUUGUCCGGAAAGAAAACGUUCUCCCUAAUAUGGAGGGCGGAUGACGGUACCGGAAGAAUAAGCACCGGCUAACUACGCGCCAGCAGCCGCGGUAAUACGUAGGGUGCAAGCGUUAAUCGGAAUUACUGGGCGUAAAGCGUGCGCAGGCGGUUCGCUAAGACCGAUGUGAAAUCCCCGGGCUUAACCUGGGAACUGCAUUGGUGACUGGCGGGCUAGAGUAUGGCAGAGGGGGGUAGAAUUCCACGUGUAGCAGUGAAAUGCGUAGAGAUGUGGAGGAAUACCGAUGGCGAAGGCAGCCCCCUGGGCCAAUACUGACGCUCAUGCACGAAAGCGUGGGGAGCAAACAGGAUUAGAUACCCCAGUAGUCC
rnacentral:rRNA from 1 species